GACGAACACUGGCGGCGUGCUUAACACAUGCAAGUCGAACGGUGAAGGGGUCUGCUUUUGUGGGCCCUGGAUGAGUGGCGAACGGGUGAGUAACACGUGAGUAACCUGCCCCCUUCUUCUGGAUAACCGCAUGAAAGUGUGGCUAAUACGGGAUAUUCUGGGUCUGUCGCAUGAUGGGUCUGGGAAAGAUUGCGCCUUUGGGUGUUUUUGGUGGGGGAUGGGCUCGCGGCCUAUCAGCUUGUUGGUGGGGUGAUGGCCUACCAAGGCGGUGACGGGUAGCCGGCCUGAGAGGGUGGACGGUCACACUGGGACUGAGACACGGCCCAGACUCCUACGGGAGGCAGCAGUGGGGAAUAUUGCACAAUGGGCGCAAGCCUGAUGCAGCGACGCCGCGUGAGGGAGGGAGGCCUUCGGGUUGUAAACCUCUUUCGCCAGUGAAGCAGGCCUGCUCCUUGUGGGUGGGUUGACGGUAGCUGGAUAAGAAGCGCCGGCUAACUACGUG
rnacentral:rRNA from 1 species